GCCUGAGCUCUGCUCCAGAGCUCCUCCAGCCCCGUGAUCAGGCACUAACUAUAACAACUGAACCGAUGGAAGUAAAUCCUACCCCAGCGGGGCACUGGCAGGAUUAAAGCAGAUGAAGAAGCUCAUCCCUGUGGACCUUUCUCUUGAAUGCCUACUAUGAGUCACUCAGCAAGAGAGGCACCCAGCUCCCUCAAGGUCUGCAGUGCCUCGGAGGCCCACUUCCCUCCAUGACACAGUCUCUGAACAUAUUAUUCCUCACGGAUGAUCACCUUCUUAACUCCAUCCAGACGUGUGCCUCUGUCUCACUAUUUAGCGUUGUCC
rnacentral:lncRNA from 1 species